rnacentral:misc_RNA from 1 species
ACCUCUUGGAAGAACUCUGGGCCAUGAAAUAGAGAAUCUAUAGGUGUUAACACCGAGUGAAUGCAUCAACUCAAUGUCCUCAAGAUAACGGUGAUAAUGGUCAUCGGCAAUGUCUCCAUUAUUUCCGUCCUCAAUCUUUCCUGGUGUAUGAGAGAAAAUAUCCCAAUUGCUUGCAGUUUUGUUGGCUGCAAAUGGUGCGCCUUCAAUCUGAUAAGAAGAGGUUGAAGUCCCAAAGAGGAACUCCGGCGGAAAAUCGGCCCGCUCGACUCCGGCGACCCAACGGAAGAGCAGCUGGAGAAACAGAGCAGCCCAAAAGACCUUCAUCCUCAAAAAG